GACAGAGGGUGCAAACGUUGUUCGGAAUUACUGGGCGUAAAGCGAGUGUAGGCGGUUUGGUAAGUCGGAUGUGAAAGCCCCGGGCUCAACCCGGGAAGUGCACUCGAUACUGCCAAGCUAGAGUAUCGGAGAGGUUGGUGGAAUUCUCGGUGUAGCGGUGAAAUGCGUAGAUAUCGGGAGGAACACCUGAGGCGAAGGCGGGUUACUGGGCUGAUACUGACGCUGAUGCGCGAAAGCCAGGGGAGCAAACGGG
rnacentral:rRNA from 1 species